GAUGAACGCUGGCGGCGUGCCUAAUACAUGCAAGUCGAGCGAACGGACGAGAAGCUUGCUUCUCUGAUGUUAGCGGCGGACGGGUGAGUAACACGUGGAUAACCUACCCAUAAGACUGGGAUAACUUCGGGAAACCGGAGCUAAUACCGGAUAAUAUUUUGAACCGCAUGGUUCAAAAGUGAAAGACGGCCUUGCUGUCACUUAUAGAUGGAUCCGCGCUGCAUUAGCUAGUUGGUAAGGUAACGGCUUACCAAGGCAACGAUGCAUAGCCGACCUGAGAGGGUGAUCGGCCACACUGGAACUGAGACACGGUCCAGACUCCUACGGGAGGCAGCAGUAGGGAAUCUUCCGCAAUGGGCGAAAGCCUGACGGAGCAACGCCGCGUGAGUGAUGAAGGUCUUCGGAUCGUAAAACUCUGUUAUUAGGGAAGAACAUAUGUGUAAGUAACUGUGCACAUCUUGACGGUACCUAAUCAGAAAGCCACGGCUAACUACGUGCCAGCAGCCGCGGUAAUACGUAGGUGGCAAGCGUUAUCCGGAAUUAUUGGGCGUAAAGCGCGCGUAGGCGGUUUUUUAAGUCUGAUGUGAAAGCCCACGGCUCAACCGUGGAGGGUCAUUGGAAACUGGAAAACUUGAGUGCAGAAGAGGAAAGUGGAAUUCCAUGUGUAGCGGUGAAAUGCGCAGAGAUAUGGAGGAACACCAGUGGCGAAGGCGACUUUCUGGUCUGUAACUGACGCUGAUGUGCGAAAGCGUGGGGAUCAAACAGGAUUAGAUGCCCUGGUAGUCCACGCCGUAAACGAUGAGUGCUAAGUGUUAGGGGGUUUCCGCCCCUUAGUGCUGCAGCUAACGCAUUAAGCACUCCGCCUGGGGAGUACGACCGCAAGGUUGAAACUCAAAGGAAUUGACGGGGACCCGCACAAGCGGUGGAGCAUGUGGUUUAAUUCGAAGCAACGCGAAGAACCUUACCAAAUCUUGACAUCCUUUGACAACUCUAGAGAUAGAGCCUUCCCCUUCGGGGGACAAAGUGACAGGUGGUGCAUGGUUGUCGUCAGCUCGUGUUGUGAGAUGUUGGGUUAAGUCCCGCAACGAGCGCAACCCUUAAGCUUAGUUGCCAUCAUUAAGUUGGGCACUCUAAGUUGACUGCCGGUGACAAACCGGAGGAAGGUGGGGAUGACGUCAAAUCAUCAUGCCCCUUAUGAUUUGGGCUACACACGUGCUACAAUGGACAAUACAAAGGGCAGCGAAACCGCGAGGUCAAGCAAAUCCCAUAAAGUUGUUCUCAGUUCGGAUUGUAGUCUGCAACUCGACUACAUGAAGCUGGAAUCGCUAGUAAUCGUAGAUCAGCAUGCUACGGUGAAUACGUUCCCGGGUCU
rnacentral:rRNA from 1 species